rnacentral:misc_RNA from 1 species
AACUGAUACUACCUGCGGGAACCUGCGGAGGGAUCAUUACAGAGUUGCAAAACUCCCAAACCAUUGUGAACGUUACCUCUACCGUUGCUUCGGCGGGCGGCCCGGGUCCUGCCCGGCGCCCCUCGGCCCUCGCGGGCGCCCGCCGGAGGUAAACCAAACUCUUGAAUUGUAUGGCCUCUCUGAGUCUUCUGUACUGAAUAAGUCAAAACUUUCAACAAUGGAUCUCUAGAUCGGAAGAGC